rnacentral:tRNA from 1 species
GGCGCUAUAGCCAAGAGGUAAGGCAGGGGCCUGCAAAGCCCCGAUUCCCCGGUUCAAAUCCGGGUGGCGCCUCCA